GGUGCAGACUUUCCGAGACCUGGUUUGGUUGUGUCCUCAGUGUACUGAAGCUGUGUGUCAGGCCCUGCCCGGCUGUGAAGAGAACAUUCAAGAUAGUGAGGUAGACUAUAAUUUUCCUUUACUUCUAGGUAGAGGGAGAAUGCUUGAAACCCUGCCCUUUGAAAUGGAAUCUAAUUAUUCUCUCUACCCUGUGUUUGAAGUGGACACUCUUCGAAUUGAUUGCCACCUUAGAUUCUCUUUUGGAUAUAGAUGGCAUAUAAAUUAUAAAGACAAGAUUUAUCUGACGUUUUUUAUUACAAAACUCUGAUACCAUUGUUCUCUUGAACAGUUUUGUUUUGUUUUGUUUUGCUUUGCUUGAGAUAGAGUUGCCCAGGCUGGAGUGCAGUGGUGCGAUCUCGGCCCACUGCAACCUCUACCUCCCAAACUCAAGUGAUUCUCUUGCCUCAGCCUCCCGAGUAGAGUAGCUGGGAUUACAGGUGUGCGCCACCACGCCCAGCUAAUUUUUGUAUUUUUAGUAGAGAGGGUUUUGCUAUGUUGUCUAGGCUGGUCUAGAAUUCCUAGCCUCAAGUGAUCCACCCGCCUCAGCAUCCCAAAGAGCUAGGAUUACAGGCAUAAGCCACUGCGCCCCACCUCUCUUGAACAGUUUUGAGUCAGAGAUUUAGACCAUGGAGUUUUUAGCUAGAAUGAGAAUUAUAAUCAUUUGUGAAAUUUUUACAAAGAUUUGGACGUAAUCACAGGUCUACUGACUUAAAUAUUCAGGGGUGUUGGACCUAGACAGAUAAAACUUUUUUUUUUUGAGACAGAGUCUAGCUCUGUUGCCCAGGCUGGAGUGCAGUAAUGCCAUCUUAGCUCACUGCAACUUCCGCCUCCUGGUUUUGGGCAAUUCUCCUGCCUCAGCCUCUCGAGUAGCUGGAACUACAGGCGUGCACCACCACGCCUGGCUAAUUUUUGUAUUUUUAAUAGAGACGGGGUUUCACCAUGUUGGCCCGGCUGGUCUCGAACUCCUGACCUCAGGUGAUCCACCCUCCUCAGCCUCCCAAAGUGCUGGGAUUACAGGCGUUAAGCCACCGUGCCCGGCUGACAGAUACAUUUUUAAGAAGCUUCACAGAUGACUCUGAUGUGCACUCUAGGUUAGUAACCAUUUUUGUGAAAAAUUUAGAGAAAUUCUUUGAGCAGCUGCUCAAAGGCCCCAAACCUGAGGAAACCUUAUUUAUUGCUUAAUCCAACAUAGGCUAUGAAAGUUUUGAGUUUCCUCUUGUGUAUUAGAAUUUCAUUCCUGUUUGUUGUAGAGAGUAUAGUAGGGGGAAUCAGUAAAUUAAAUGAAGUAAACUAAAGAUUAUACCUUUUCUGCUGGCACUAAGCGAAAAGCAAAACCAGUGGCUGUCUAUUAUCUCCUGUGUUUUAGACAGUCAAGUGUUGAGCACUUGCUCUUAUUCCUUUAUUCUCUAGGGGAAGCAAGCACUUAUUUGGCUACUUGGUGUCCAUGGGGAAAGAAUUCCUAAUGCUCCUUAUGUGUUAGAGGACUUUGUUGAGAAUGUGAAGUCGGAAACAUUUCCAGCUGUUAAGAUGGAGCUGCUCACUGCUUUGCUGCGCCUUUUCCUCUCCCGACCUGCUGAGUGCCAGGACGUGCUAGGACGUUUGUUGUAUUACUGCAUAGAGGAAGAAAAAGAUAUGGCUGUACGGGACCGAGGUCUCUUCUAUUAUCGCCUCCUUUUAGUUGGCAUUGAUGAAGUUAAGCGGAUUCUGUGUAGCCCUAAAUCUGACCCUACUCUUGGACUUUUGGAGGAUCCGGCAGAAAGACCUGUGAAUUGCUGGGCCUCAGACUUCAACACACUGGUGCCAGUGUAUGGCAAAGCCCACUGGGCAACUAUCUCUAAAUGCCAAGGGGCAGAGCGUUGUGGCCCAGAGCUUCCUAAAACUUCAUCCUUUGCUGCAUCAGGUAAAAACAGCCCUUACCUUAAAUCUUGUCAUGAUAAAUCUUUACCUUUUCAAUGAUUGGUGGAAAGUAGAGUAUCCUAGCACUAAACCUCAGACUGUUGCCUGAAUUUGAAGCAUUUGUGAGCAAGAAAGAGGUUUGUCACUGGUUAUUUCAGCCAUUUGUCCAAAGAUAAAAGUCACAUUGUGUACAUUUGGGAAUUUGGAUAAAAAACUUAGCUCCUGCAGAUUAAGAACAUCUUUCACGCAAGUUUUCUGUGUCUUUUAGGACCCUUGAUUCCUGAAGAGAACAAGGAGAGGGUACAAGAACUCCCUGAUUCUGGAGCCCUCACGCUAGUCCCCAAUCGCCAGCUUACUGCUGAUUAUUUUGAGAAAACUUGGCUUAGCCUCAAAGUUGCUCAUCAGCAAGUGUUGCCUUGGCGGGGAGAAUUCCAUCCUGACACCCUCCAGAUGGCUCUUCAAGUAGUGAACAUCCAGACCAUCGCAAUGAGUAGGGCUGGGUCUCAGCCAUGGAAAGCAUACCUCAGUGCUCAGGAUGAUACUGGCUGUCUGUUCUUAACAGAACUGCUAUUGGAGCCUGAAAACUCAGAAAUGCAGAUCUCUGUGAAACAAAAUGAAGCAAGAACCGAGACGCUGAAUAGUUUUAUUUCUGUAUUAGAAACUGUGAUUGGAACAAUUGAAGAAAUAAAAUCAUAACAGAG
rnacentral:sRNA from 1 species